rnacentral:rRNA from 1 species
AGGACGAACGCUGGCGGCGUGCUUAACACAUGCAAGUCGAACGGAUCACUUUCGGGUGGUUAGUGGCGAACGGGUGAGUAACACGUGGGUAACCUGCCCCUCACUCUGGGAUAACUCCGGGAAACCGGGGCUAAUACUGGAUAUGACCUCAUGCUGCAUGGUGUGGGGUGGAAAGUUUUUCGGUGGGGGAUGGGCCCGCGGCCUAUCAGCUUGUUGGUGGGGUGAUGGCCUACCAAGGCGUCGACGGGUAGCCGGCCUGAGAGGGCGACCGGCCACACUGGGACUGAGACACGGCCCAGACUCCUGCGGGAGGCAGCAGUGGGGAAUAUUGCGCAAUGGGCGGAAGCCUGACGCAGCGACGCCGCGUGAGGGAUGACGGCCUUCGGGUUGUAAACCUCUUUCAGCACAGACCAAGGCCAGUUUUUGAUUGGUUGAGUGUAUGUGCAGAAGAAGCACCGGCUAACUACGUGCCAGCAGCCGCGGUAA